UCGGGUUUUUUUUCCAACACCAAACCAAGUCAAACCAAAUCAUAGUCGGGUUUUUUUUCUCGGUUUGACUCGGAUUAUCGGGUUGGUGCGUUUUAUCGGUUUUCUUUGUACACCCUGUUGGGAAUAAAACCCCUACCAAAUAAUAUUCACGGUAAUAAAAGCGGAAUAAUAAUGUAGCACCGAGCUACAGUAAUUAACAAGAAUAAAAGAGUAAUAAUGACACCAAGAUUUUUACGUGGAAAACCCUUUUGAAUAAGGGAAAAAACCACGGCCCUGAGAGGAGCAACUGAUAUCACUAUAGUAAGGAAUUUUACACUUUCUAGGUC
rnacentral:lncRNA from 1 species